rnacentral:lncRNA from 1 species
GGGCUGGCUGCUCUUCGUAACCUGGCCAAGGCACGUUUAUGGGCACUUAAAGGCAAAUUCUCUGGAGGCACUGAGUGAGAAACAAGGGAGAUGCUGUUAUUUGCAUUGGCAAGAAUGCAACUGACUCGUUGGCAGUGUAGCAACAAUAACUGGGGCAACAGAAACACUGGCAGUGGCUGCCUCUGGAUCAGGUCUGU